rnacentral:lncRNA from 1 species
CUGUAAUCCAUUUAAAGGUUAAGUCUCCACCCCAGCGUGAACAUGGAUGCAUGCUGCACACAAUUAGCCAAUUAUGCAUGUCUAUGCUUCCUCUUUGUGAAUAUUCAUAGCUCCUCCUAUAACCUGUUGAAUAUGUACAUUUGGCCACGCUGUUCAGCAUAAAUCCCUGUCUUCCACUCUCGCAGUGCCUGUUUCCAGCAUCUGGCUAGAGACUAUGCUUCCC